GACGAACGCUGGCGGCGUGCCUAAUACAUGCAAGUCGAACGCUGAAGGAGGAGCUUGCUUCUCUGGAUGAGUUGCGAACGGGUGAGUAACGCGUAGGUAACCUGCCUGGUAGCGGGGGAUAACUAUUGGAAACGAUAGCUAAUACCGCAUAAGAGUAGAUGUUGCAUGACAUUUGCUUAAAAGGUGCAAUUGCAUCACUACCAGAUGGACCUGCGUUGGAUUAGCUUGUUGGUGGGGUUACGGCUCACCAAGGCGACGAUACAUAGCCGACCGGAGAGGGUGAUAGGCCACACUGAGACUGAGACACGGCCCAGAGUCCUACGGGUGGCAGCAGGAGGGAAUCGUCGGCAAGAGCUGGAAGUCUGAGCGAGCUACGCCGAGGGAGUGAAGAAGGUUAUCGGAUGGUAAAGGUCUGUUGUAAGAGAAGAAAGAGUGUGAGAGUGGAAAGUUCACACUGUGACGGUAUCUUACCAGAAAGCGACGGCUAACUACGUG
rnacentral:rRNA from 1 species